rnacentral:rRNA from 1 species
AUUGAACGCUGGCGGCAUGCCUAACACAUGCAAGUCGAACGGGGGUAGCGAUACCCUAGUGGCGGACGGGUGAGGAACGCGUAGGAAUUGGCCCACGAGUGGGGGACAACCUGGGGAAACCCAGGCUAAUACCGCAUACGCUCGCGAGAGGAAAGCGGGGGAUCUACGGACCUCGCGCUGGUGGACAAGCCUACGUCCGAUUAGCUAGUUGGCAGGGUAAAAGCCUACCAAGGCGACGAUCGGUAGCUGGUCUGAGAGGAUGAUCAGCCACACUGGGACUGAGACACGGCCCAGACUCCUACGGGAGGCAGCAGUGGGGGAAUAUUGGACAAUGGGCGCAAGCCUGAUCCAGCAAUGCCGCGUGGGUGAAGACGGCCUGCGGGUUGUAAAGCCCUUUAAGCGGGGAGGAACGCCGGAACGCGAAUACCGUUUCGGACUGACGUUACCCGCAGAAUAAGCACCGGCUAAACUCCGUGCCAGCAGCCGCGGUAAU